rnacentral:lncRNA from 1 species
UCUAAGGUUGAGAACAAAUCCCUAGCAGCAUUCGUCAAAGUUUGCGGGAAGGCCUUGCACAUCACCUGAUCUGGUGCAACCUGCAGAUUCAUGACGUCCGUGUAUAUGUUCAGAUGAUUGAUUGGAUCGGUGGUCCCAUCAUAUUCUUUGAUCCUAGGAUACUUAAAUCUGUCUGGCAAGGGGAAUGUUAAUAUCUCGGGAGUAAAUGGAGUGUUGGGACUGAAUCUUGUCGUCCCUUUGUUGCCCUGAAGUAGGCCCGCCGUAAUUCCUUCUUGAAUAAUCCUAGCGAGUUCCCCGGACUCCAUGG